rnacentral:piRNA from 1 species
UGAGUAUGUAUAACUACUGAUCAGUGAUGG